UACGUAGGGGGCUAGCGUCGUCCGGAAUCAUUGGGCGUAAAGAGCGUGUAGGCGGCCCGGUAAGUCCGCUGUGAAAGUCGGGGGCUCAACCCUCGAAUGCCGGUGGAUACUGUCGGGCUAGAGUGCGGAAGAGGCGAGUGGAAUUCCUGGUGUAGCGGUGAAAUGCGCAGAUAUCAGGAGGAACACCAAUUGCGAAGGCAGCUCGCUGGGACGUAACUGACGCUGAGACGCGAAAGCGUGGGGAGCAAACAGG
rnacentral:rRNA from 1 species